rnacentral:rRNA from 1 species
UGGCGGCGUGCCUAAUACAUGUAAGUCGAGCGGACCUGUAGGAGCUUGCUCCUAAAGAUUAGCGGCGGACGGGUGAGUAACACGUGGGCAACCUGCCUGUAAGACUGGGAUAACUUCGGGAAACCGGAGCUAAUACCGGAUAACUUCUUUCCCCGCAUGGGGAAAGGUUAAAAGACGGUUAUGCUGUCACUUACAGAUGGGCCCGCGGCGCAUUAGCUAGUUGGUGAGGUAAUGGCUCACCAAGGCGACGAUGCGUAGCCGACCUGAGAGGGUGAUCGGCCACACUGGGACUGAGACACGGCCCAGACUCCUACGGGAGGCAGCAGUAGGGAAUCUUCCGCAAUGGACGAAAGUCUGACGGAGCAACGCCGCGUGAGUGAAG